CGAGCAGUUGAAAUGGACUCCUGCUGCUGAUAGUGGUUCUGCUUCCAUGGAAACAACAAUGAAGUGAUGGAAACGCUGGAAGGCUUUUUAAAUGUAACUUUAAAUAUACAUACUAGGACUCCUUCCUUAUCAGCCCCUUAAAAGUAGGUCACAAGCACGACUGGUCAACAGCAGCAGCCAGGGAUGAGAACCACCUCUCGCAGAUCACUGCUGCAGGAUACUUGCUGAGGUUUGUGAGUCCCAGAAAGAAAAGAUCAAUCUAUCAAUAUCCAGAGGAAAGCCUACCAUUUCUGACUUAUGCUAAGUGUUCUGACAACAAAAGGCAACCUUGAGAAGAAUUUUAAUUUAUGGUUCUACACACGAUUCACAAAUAUGGAGCCAUCAGCCUUUCCAUGAAUAACACAAACCUGGUCAAGAAAGGGAAUCUGCUUCCCAUUUGCAUUUAACCAACCUUCUAUUAAUGUUUUUUCUAAACUCAACGUGAUGUGAACCCUAGAAGUUCAAAGAGUCAGCAAAGAAGAGUAAAAGCAAUAGUCACAGUAACAUUCACGCCAGGCACUGCCUCGAUUAUAACUGCUUUCAAUGUUGUUUCGCAGCUUUUCUGUCCUCAAAAAAAAGAAACAAGCAACCCAAAAUGGAACCACCUGAGCUAAGCCCAUGUCACCAAACCAAGACUUAAUACCUAACCUAACUAGUUUCAAACUUCCCCAGGACUGGAAUCUUAACCAGUCAGUCUGGAAUUUCCUGAGCAGCACCAGGGGGUAACUGGCCAAUAAAUAUUUUUGUCUCCCAAAGGAA